CCCAGGUCCGCCAGCAGUGGUGGUGCUGGCUCCAGGGCCGGCAUUGUUAAUGCGUGUUGCCCAGGACGUGGAGCAGGAUCUGGAAAAGGAGAAAAGGUCACCACACCAGUCAUUUUUCACUGGGUUUUCCAAGCACAGAAAUGACCGGGUGGAAUUUAAGGGAAUUGUAGCCCGAAAACACCACCCCCGGAAAGUCUUGCAGACUGCAAGCCCCCUCACCAUCUGGCUUGGCCUCGUUGGGCUCCGGAAGCACCAACUGGCCUAGGACAAUUUCCUGAUGGUCCUCCAAGCCCAGUCCAGGCCAGGCAAAGUUCUUGAAGGCCAGCUUUAUCCAGAAAGAUGACUGUUGCAGGGACUGAUAGCAACCUGAAGAGUUUUCAGCUGGCCAGGUGAACAAAAUGGAGGUGGUGGUGCUGGUGAUGGAGUGGACAGCUGAGUCAGAGGCCUGGUCUUCUCCCACACAACCCUACAGGGCACCCUUGCAUGGUUCUGGGUCCCUGGCCUCUUGCUGCCUGUGCAGAGGACAGCUCCACCCUACUCCAAGCCAUCAGUACUGUCCUGGAAGGGGCAGACCUGCCCAUGCAGCAGGGCUGUACAGACCCCCAUAAGCCCUGGCGUCCCACUGACGUUCUCUUCCCAAAGGCCCUGGAGCACAGCACUGUACACCUGGGCACUCAAGACUGCAGCUGCAGGCAGAUUUGUGAGCAGCUUCCUCAUCAAAGCUCCAGAUCUGGGUCCCCUGGUCCUGGGGUUAGGAGGGAAGGGGCAGAUGUCGGCGGGGGAGGAGGACAGGGAGAGCUGGGAAGCCACGGUGCUGAGGGGGAUGGGUCUACUCAGUGGCCAGCUGUGACCCCAGCCUCCCCUCUGCUUUGCAGGGGACCUAAGUCUCCAUUUACAGAACUCACUUUUUGCCUCUUGUGGGGGAAGUCCCCAGAUGUCAGCCUUCUCGUGGGAAUUAUAAGAAGUAUGAGCCCCAGGGCUCCUUUAGUCUCUCCCCAGCCAGAGUCCACAUAUUUUCCCCCAUGUUUUGUGGGUGAAAAGGCCCUUCAGAACCCUAAAUCCACCCGGUUUAUAUUUGUUGCUGGGCUGCGUCAUUCUAGUCAGAGUCUGGGAGGAUGCCACCAUACGUAGAGGAGGCCAUGAGGGUCUCACCUGUAACAUUCUGUAGAUGUGACUUGUUUAUUCUGUCUACUGUGAGUGCCUGACUCUGAGUAGAAUCAAGGCCGGGGGAUGUCAUCUGCUUUGUUUAUGAAAUGAUGCCAAGCCCCAAGAAGAGCGAUGCACAAAUGAGGUGUUUUGAAUGUAUGUGUUGAAUGAGUGAACCCCAACCUUUGGAGAACCCCAGUGAGCCUCUCCAGAUGUCUGAGUGGGCCUGUGGCUCCUUUUUCAGCACCAAGGGACCCCUCUUCUGUCUGUGUCAAGGAGAAAGACCAGCCAGAAGGAAUCUCAGACAUCCUUUACCAGUGCCAUCGCAGACUUGGUUUCUAUGUGUUUUUCCAAACAGUGAGUGAUAUAGGCCAUUGAGGCAGAAUGCUGAGAGCUGCUUCAAGUGAGGGGGAAGAGAAAAGUAACAAACAUGAAUCACAGCACCCCCAGCAGAUUUUCCAGAGUUUUAGGCUCUAGGGACCCCUUUGUUUGCUGUGUCUUAGAUCAUUGAGUCCCUUCAAGAACCCUGUGAGGUUCGUCUUCUCACUACUCCCUGUUCCAGAGGAGCCAACCGAGGCCCCGAGAGGUGCAUCUUCAAGACAGAGCCAGUAGGGGACAGAGGCACCUCUGUGUCUUGGAGGGGGAUGGACACUCACCUUCUAACCAGUAGUUCCAAAAAGUGUGGCACAGUGAUAAAGUCCCAGGAGGGGCCCAAGCAGGUGGCAUAGGAGGAGAUGGGUUUAGUUAGAAAGGCUGGAACCAGGGACUCCAACAGCUUCUCCCCAGUGCCGGGCUGGAAAGUUAGCAUCCUGCAGAUCUCAUUUUCAUACUAGGGGGACAAGGAGGGACAUGGGAGUCAGUGGUAACACCAUGGACCACCAGAGGAUCGGGAUCUGGAACUCACACCAAGAAGCACCAACCCUUCAGGGACUUGUGCAUGUGGAGAACCUGGGUGCCCAUGGUGAAAAGCGUUCUAGGCUUUCAGAGUAACAUUGCAUGUGAGGAUGGAGAAUGAUAAAACGAUUCCUGCCUUCAAGGCAUCGUCCCGGUGUUUGUCAGCUGUGGGGCAACAGCACCCUCUGUGUCAGCAACCUGCAUGAAGAGCAUCAUCCCUCCAAGUCCUCAAGGCCUGGGGAGGCCUCAUCCCGUCCUCAUUUCAGCAACAGCACACAGGACAAUACGCUCUAGAAGAACUCUUUGACUUAAAGGUAUAUGAUUGUUUUUGUUCCUUUAACAUGAACGUGAGUCUGGAGAAACAGCUACGGCCAUCCCAGCCCUGGCCAAGGGGAAAAUGCCGGAAGACUCCAGGGUGGGAGGAAGCGCGUCCCAAGGCCCAGGAUCUGCGAGGCGACUCGGGGAAAACGCAGGACCUGCUGAAGCUCACACCCGUGGACCACCCAGACUGCCUGCCGCUACAGGAUGCCCUCCGCAUCUCCCAGGACUUCUUUCUGGCAUCAGUGUGGACAUUGACCCCGCUGGACUGCAGUCACAGUGGACUCCCAAGGGGCAGGAUCCACCUCUGAUGUUCAGUGAAGACUACCAGAAAAGUCUGCUAGAGCAGUACCAUCUGGGUCUGGAUCAAAAACGCAGAAAAUACGUGGUUGGAGAGCUCAUCUGGAAUUUUGCCGAUUUCAUGACUAACCAGUAGUGUGUGCAGUGGACCCCAUCAUGGAGAAGUUCAACACAUCCAGCCUACGACCAGCACCUGUGGGAGGUGGAUAUUCAAGGCAGCAGAGCCUACAGCCGGGGCGUGGAGAAGGCAG
rnacentral:lncRNA from 1 species